rnacentral:lncRNA from 1 species
CACAAUUGGGUCGCUGUGGAUGUUCCUACGGUCAUUCAUAAGUCAGCGUGAUUUGUUCACUUUGUUUGAAACCCUUCUCCCAUGCCAAAAGGAGAAGUGAUGACAUUGUUGGCAAAGCAUAUAUACAAUGAUGUUUUCAUUCAAUUAAUGCAUUGUUUAACAUUUGUUUUUCCAUUUGUUUUCACUUUUUGCUUUUGCAUGAAAUAAGUGAUCACAAAAAACCCUGAAAAACAAAAACAACAUCUUUUCAUCUGCAUAAGUGAUUUGCUUGUUUAAAAUUCAAAAGCUUUUCAUUAUCCAGAAUCAUUAUGCAGGGAUUUCUAAACCCAUUGAACAUAAUGAUCCAACGCCAUCUCCCAAUCUUGAAUUCCUUGUAUCUGAGGCAGAGGAGGAUGAUGUUGAAGGGGAUUCCUG